UACGUAGGGGGGCAAGCGUUUGUCCGGAAUCAUUGGGCGUAAAGAGCGCGUAGGCGGUCCGGUAAGUCCGCUCUGAAAGUCCGGGGGCUCAACCCCGGGAGGCGGGCGGAUACUGUCGGGCUAGAGUCCGGAAGAGGCGAGUGGAAUUCCUGGUGUAGCGGUGAAAUGCGCAGAUAUCAGGAGGAACACCAAUGGCGAAGGCAGCUCGCUGGGACGGUACUGACGCUGGAGGCGCGAAAGCGUGGGGAGCAAACAGG
rnacentral:rRNA from 1 species